rnacentral:tRNA from 1 species
AAAUAAGAAGUAAAAAUUACAUUUAGUUUCGACCUAAAAAAUUGGUGGUUAUGUCACCCUUAUUUA